GUUUCCUUUCAGAGUCAAUCACCAAAUAUCAAAUCGGAAGCCCUACGAAAAAUGGCAAUAUGGAAUACUAACUUUCAAGUUAUCAUCUACUGAGAUCGGACUGAAUUACUCACGGAUAUGGAUUCCGCAAAAGCCGUAAAAGACGUAUUGAACUUUUUUGGGAAAUAUCGCCACUGUUUAAAUUGUUUAGAGAGAAGACCAAAUUUUCAUCUGGCAGUACUAUACUCUCGAUAAUAUUCCAUUUUGGAGUCGCUCUGCAAAGAUAACAAGACACAGUUUCGCGAGCUCAGAAUAUUCGGAAUAAAAAGAAGCUAAAACAUA